rnacentral:rRNA from 1 species
AUACGGAAGGUCCGGGCGUUAUCCGGAUUUAUUGGGUUUAAAGGGAGCGCAGGCGGAGAUGCAAGCGUGACGUCAAAUUUCGGGGCUCAACCCCGUCUCGCGUCGCGAACUGCGUCCCUUGGUUGCGGGAAGGGGAGGCGGAACUCGUGGUGUAGCGGUGCAAUGCAUAGAUAUCACGAAGAACUCCGAUCGCGAAGGCAGCCUUCCGGCCCGUCAACGACGCUCAUGCUCGAAGGUGCGGGUAUCAAACAGGAUUAGAUACCCUGGUAGUCCGCACAGUAAACGAUGGACACCCGCGGUUUGGCCUGUAUGGCUGAGCCGCCAAGCGAAAGCGUUAAGUGUCCCACCUGGGGAGUACGCCGGCAACGGUGAAACUCAAAUGAAUUGGCGGGG